CAAAGCUAAGCCUCGGGUGCUGAGAUUUUUGUUUGUCUUUUUCAGCCACGAAGCUUGCAGCUUGAUGUCGGUGUCUGAUGGAAGACAUAAAGAAGCCGGGGUUUCCAUAGGUACCUUGGUUGGACUGAAGAUGAUUUAACAACUAUAAUUGCGCUCAAAUAGCUCAGUGCCUUCCUCUGAGGCAAGUUCUAGACCCUACUACUUUCUGCAAAGCCAAGUUGCUCAGAAAGUGCCUGUAAUCGGUGAUGAGCAGCCUCCAGUGGGCUCUGGAAGAAAGCAAGAUUUAGCUUCUGAAGACUUCAAAUCAAUCAAGACUUCAGCCCACCAUCGAUCAGAGGGACUUGCUGUGUGUAUGUUUCUCCCAGCACCCAGCACAGAGG
rnacentral:lncRNA from 1 species